AUGAGCCCCAACCUCUUUUGUGUGAUUCUUUGUCUGCUGGUGGCAGGUCCCGUGGAUGCAGCAGUCACCCAGAAGCCAAGAUACCAUAUUAUACGAGCAGGAAACAAGAUGGUCCUGGAAUGUUCUCAGCAUAUGAACCAUCUGGGAAUGUUCUGGUAUCGGCAAGAUCCGGGACAGGGGCCAAGGCUGAUCCAUUAUUCAAAUGGCGUCGGCAGCACUGGCGAAGGGGACGUCACGGAAGGGUACAGUGUCUCCCGAAACAAGACUGAACAUUUCCCCCUGACCCUGCAGUCGGCCAGCACCAACCAGACCUCCUCGUACCUCUGUGCCAGCAGUGAAUCCACAGCGCGGCACGGCCCGUUGGAGGCUGGAGUCACCCAAACUCCGAGACACAUGAUCAAAACAACAGGACAGACAGUGACACUGAGGUGUUCCCCUAUGUCUGGGCACCGCAGUGUGUCUCGGUACCAACAGGCCCUGGGUCAGGGCCCCCAGUUCCUCUUUGAGUUUUAUGAAAAUAUGCAGAGAGCAAAAGGAAACUUCCCGGGUCGAUUCUCAGCACAGCAGUUCCGUGACGCUCGCUCAGAGCUGAACGUGAGCUCCUUGGAGCUGAGCGACUCGGCCCUGCACCUGUGUGCCCGCAGCUUCGCACAGCCCUGCUGA